UGAGGAAUAUUGGUCAAUGGGCGGGAGCCUGAACCAGCCAAGCCGCGUGAGGGAGGAAGGCCCUAUGGGUCGUAAACCUCUUUUGUCAGGGAACAAAAGCGAGUAUGUAUACUAGUCUGAGUGUACCUGAAGAAAAAGCAUCGGCUAACUCCGUGCCAGCAGCCGCGGUAAUACGGAGGAUGCGAGCGUUAUCCGGAUUUAUUGGGUUUAAAGGGUGCGUAGGCGGCGGUGCAAGUCAGCGGUAAAAGCCCGGGGCUCAACCCCGGCGAGCCGUUGAAACUGCAGUGCUAGAGAAGGCGAGAGGUACGCGGAAUGCGCAGCGUAGCGGUGAAAUGCUUAGAUAUUGCGCAGAACUCCGAUUGCGAAGGCAGCGUACUGGCGCCUGACUGACGCUGAGGCACGAAAGCGUGGGGAUCGAACAGGAUUAGAUACCC
rnacentral:rRNA from 1 species